GACGAACGCUGGCGGCGUGCCUAAUACAUGCAAGUCGAGCGGACCGAACAGGAGCUUGCUCUUGUUCGGUUAGCGGCGGACGGGUGAGUAACACGUGGGUAACCUGCCCGUAAGACCGGGAUAACUCCGGGAAACCGGAGCUAAUACCGGAUAACACCGAAAACCGCAUGGUCUUUGGUUGAAAGGCGGCUUCGGCUGCCACUUACGGAUGGGCCCGCGGCGCAUUAGCUAGUUGGUGAGGUAACGGCUCACCAAGGCGACGAUGCGUAGCCGGCCUGAGAGGGUGACCGGCCACACUGGGACUGAGACACGGCCCAGACUCCUACGGGAGGCAGCAGUAGGGAAUCUUCCGCAAUGGACGAAAGUCUGACGGAGCGACGCCGCGUGAGCGAAGAAGGUCGUCGGAUCGUAAAGCUCUGUUGUUAGGGAAGAAGAAGCGUCGUUCGAACAGGGCGGCGCGGUGACGGUACCUAACGAGAAAGCCCCGGCUAACUACGUG
rnacentral:rRNA from 1 species